rnacentral:rRNA from 1 species
AAUCUGCAGCUUAGGUUAGCCCUGGCUGUAGUGUUUUAAACCAACUGUGAAUCAAAACCCUUUGAUGCUUCGGCAGCUGGGCUGGACUUAACUGUGCAACCCGUCAGCCUGCCGGCAGCAAACCAAACCAAACUUUUUUAAAACCCAGUCUGAAACCAAUCAUUUUCGAAUGAAAAUUAAAACUUUCAACAACGGAUCUCUUGGUUCUCGCAUCGAUGAAGAACGCAGCGAAACGCGAUAGUUAAUGUGAAUUGCAGAAUUCAGUGAAUCAUCGAGUCUUUGAACGCACAUUGCGCCCAUUGGUAUUCCUUUGGGCAUGUCUGUUUGAGCGUCAUUUCAACUCUCUGUCCAUAAUUUUUUUAUGUGAUUAGGUUUUGAGCUCGGCCUGAACCCUAACCGGUUGGCUGGCUUUAAAUUUGAACGCUCUGCGGGUGACCUCUUACCUGACCGAACAUAGUAAAUUUUUAUGUUGUUCCACUUGGUUUUUGGUUGUACCCAGCCUGAACAAAACUUUUUUUCUAAGGUUUGACCUCAGAUCAGACAAGGAUACCCGCUGAACUUAAGCUGAUCAAUAAGCGGAGGUA